GGGGAUUUAGCUCAGUGGCAUAAGCACCUGCCUUGCAAGCAGGCGGUCCUGGGUUCGAUCCCCGGUACCG
rnacentral:tRNA from 1 species